AUUGAACGCUGGCGGCAUGCUUUACACAUGCAAGUCGAACGGCAGCACGGGUGCUUGCACCUGGUGGCGAGUGGCGAACGGGUGAGUAAUGCAUUGGAACGUACCGGGUAAUGGGGGAUAACUUGCCGAAAGGUAAGCUAAUACCGCAUACGCUCUUAGGAGGAAAGCGGGGGAUCUUCGGACCUCGCGUUAUCCGAGCGGCCAAUGUCUGAUUAGCUAGUUGGUGGGGUAAAAGCCUACCAAGGCGACGAUCAGUAGCGGGUCUGAGAGGAUGAUCCGCCACACUGGGACUGAGACACGGCCCACACUCCUACGGGAGGCAGCAGUGGGGAAUUUUGGACAAUGGGCGCAAGCCUGAUCCAGCCAUGCCGCGUGUCUGAAGAAGGCCUUCGGGUUGAAAAGGACUUUUGUACGGGAAGAAAAAGUUGUGGCUAAUACCCAUGACUGAUGACGGUACCGUAAGAAUAAGCACCGGCUAACUACGUGCCAGCAGCCGCGCGUAAUACGUAGGGUGCGAGCGUUAAUCGGAAUUACUGGGCGUAAAGAGCUCGUAGGUGGUUAUUUAAGCAGGAUGUGAAAUCCCGCAGCUCAACCUGCGGGACUGCAGGCGAUACGGGCAUAACUUGAGUGCUGUAGGGGAGACUGGAAUUCCUGGUGUAGCGGUGGAAUGCGCGGAUAUCAGGAGGAACACCGAUGGCGAAGGCAGGUCUCUGGGCAGUAACUGACGCUGAGGAGCGAAAGCAUGGGGAGCGAACAGGAUUAGAUACCCUGGUAGUCCAUGCCGUAAACGGUGGGCGCUAGGUGUGAGUCCCUUCCACGGGGUUCGUGCCGUAGCUAACGCAUUAAGCGCCCCGCCUGGGGAGUACGGCCGCAAGGCUAAAACUCAAAGGAAUUGACGGGGGCCCGCACAAGCGGCGGAGCAUGUGGAUUAAUUCGAUGCAACGCGAAGAACCUUACCUGGGCUUGACAUACACCAGACCGGGCCAGAGAUGGUCUUUCCCUUUGUGGUUGGUGUACAGGUGGUGCAUGGUUGUCGUCAGCUCGUGUCGUGAGAUGUUGGGUUAAGUCCUGCAACGAGCGCAACCCUUGUCUUAUGUUGCCAGCACGUGAUGGUGGGGACUCAUGAGAGACUGCCGGGGUUAACUCGGAGGAAGGUGGGGAUGACGUCAAAUCAUCAUGCCCCUUAUGUCCAGGGCUUCACACAUGCUACAAUGGUCGGUACAACGCGUUUGCGAGCCUGUGAGGGUGUGCUAAUCGCUGAAAGCCGGCCUUAGUUCGGAUUGGGGUCUGCAACUCGACCCCAUGAAGUCGGAGUCGCUAGUAAUCGCAGAUCAGCAACGCUGCGGUGAAUACGUUCCCGGGCCU
rnacentral:rRNA from 1 species